rnacentral:rRNA from 1 species
ACGCUCGACACCUACGGGAGGCGGCAGUGGGGAAUAUUGCACAAUGGGGGAAACCCUGAUGCAGCGACGCCGCGUGAGCGAAGAAGUAUUUCGGUAUGUAAAGCUCUAUCAGCAGGGAAGAAACUGACGGUACCUGACUAAGAAGCACCGGCUAAAUACGUGCCUGCAGCCGCGGUAAUCUGAGCGGGCUGGCAAGGC